GAUCAAUUCAAUAAGCUUGUGACUAAAAAAAUAUGCUGUCAGCUCAGACACAUGACUCAGGACUGAACAGACCCCAAAGAGGGUUGUAGUUCCAUUGAGGUCUUCCAAAUGCCAGUAGAGAAAGGUGAACACGAAGCCAUAUCCAAAACCCAUGAACCAAGCCACAAACAGCACUGAGCCAUACUGCACGCUGCAGAGCAGCUUGAUUAAGUCCCAAAAGUUGAAGGCCUGCGAGUGGCUUGUGGUGGUUGGUGUCUCCUCAGAGGACUCUGUAGAGUUGUUCCUUUCCACCUGCGGGAUCUCCACCUCUUUCCCUUUAGAAUCAUCGUUUUUGAAAUGGUUGUAGCGGAACCGGAACUGAGUGGCAACGAUCAAGGCCAUGGUCAUGAGAACGCCGAAGACGAUGAAGACGAUCUGGUAAUUCCUGUACUCGGGGGGCUUACACCCCUUUCCAUCGAUGAGCACUUCGAUGUGGGUGUAGUCGAUCCCGAUGCCCACAGACAGCAUCGCCAGGCCCCAGCCCAGGGAGCCCCACAUGCGCUGCAACCCAUAGCGAUCUCUGUGUUUUCCCAGAUACUGGAGUGUGACCGUGUCUACGAUUGUGACAGAAGAGGCACUGAAAAAUUCUCCUAUUAUGACAACUACCAAGAUCACCAAGAAUAUAGCUUCAACUUCUUGUUGAUCAUAAACAAGCAUGACUUGGUCAGAAGGUAAAGAUUUGGUGGUGGUAACAAUAACAGUGGUUGUCUCCUUGGUUACGCUUCCUGGGGAGACAGGGGUUGCUGUGCUUGAGUUCAAAGUCAAGUCCAUCAUACGGUUGUGUUCCACCAGAACAAAAGGAUAA
rnacentral:lncRNA from 1 species